rnacentral:rRNA from 1 species
UACGUAGGGUGCGAGCGUUGUCCGGAAUUACUGGGCGUAAAGAGCUCGUAGGUGGUUUGUCGCGUUGUUCGUGAAAACUCACAGCUCAACUGUGGGCGUGCGGGCGAUACGGGCAGACUGGAGUACUGCAGGGGAGACUGGAAUUCCUGGUGUAGCGGUGGAAUGCGCAGAUAUCAGGAGGAACACCGGUGGCGAAGGCGGGUCUCUGGGCCGAUACUGACGCUGGAGGAGCGAAAAGCGUGGGGAGCGAACAGG